rnacentral:lncRNA from 1 species
CAUAAACAUACUAGCUGCAUCAUCCUCAUGAACACACGCAAUCAACCAGGUCGUGCUCAUCAGCAGCUUGAUGUUGGAACCGCAAGGGAUUCGGCUUACAGCCUCACCAACCAAUUCGAAUUUUGUGAGACGGUGACGCAGUGUGGAGCAGAAAACAAGGUGUGCUACUGCUGCUGGAAGCAAGAUCCAAAACCAGUGUGUUAUGACCAUUGGGAUGAGUGCUCCGAAAAGUGCCCUCGUGGUCGUUGACAGUCUUUACCGUCUGGUCUUAGGACUGUUAGUACCGAUCUAAAUAAUGUACUGGACAUGAUUGAUGAUAAUAAUAGAGAGUUCUAUGUACUGCAUCAUCAUUUAUCCUGGUUUCAUUUAUAUGCAUGUCGUUU